rnacentral:rRNA from 1 species
UUUAUUAGAAGAGACGCAUUUAUUAGAUAAAAAGCCAAUGCAUGCUUUUACAGUAUGGAAAUUGGUGAUUUAUAAUAACUURGCAAAUCGCAAAGUGAAAACAGGCGAUAAAUCAUUCAAGUUUCUGACCUAUCAGCUUUCGACGGUAUGGUAUUGGCUUACCGUGGCAGUGACGGUUAACGGGGGAUUAGGGUUCGAUUCCGGAGAGGGAGCCUGAGAAACGGCUACCACAUCUAAGGAAGGCAGCAGGCGCGCAAAUUACCCAAUUCUAACAGUUUGAGAGAGGUAGUAACAAGAAAUAACAAUACRAGGCAAUUAAAAUGYUUUGUAAUUGGAAUGAUAGAAAUUUAAACCCUUUUUAAAGUAUCAAUUGGAGGGCAAGUCUGGUGCCAGCAGCCGCGGUAAUUCCAGCUCCAAUAGCGUAUAUUAAAAUUGUUGCAGUUAAAAAGCUCGUAGUUGAAGUUCUGCUAAAAGUAACCGGUCUGCUUUUAAUAAAAGUGGUAUCUUGGUGUGUAUUUAGCAAUGAUGUCCUUUGAAGUGUUUUUUACUUUAUUGUAAUAAAGCAUAUUCAGGACUUUUACUUUGAGAAAAUUAGAGUGUUUCUAGCAGGCCGACGCUUUGAAKA